GACGAGUUUCACGAGCGUUAUUCGGAAUUACUGGGCUUAAAGGGCGCGUAGGCGGGAUGGCAAGUCGGUCGUGAAAUCCCUCGGCUCAACCGAGGAACGCCGAUCGAUACUGCUGUUCUUGAGGAUUGCAGAGGAGACUGGAAUUCCCGGUGUAGCGGUGAAAUGCGCAGAUAUCGGGAGGAACACCGGUGGCGAAGGCGGUUCUCUGGGCCUGUACUGACGCUGAGGAGCGAAAGCGUGGGGAGCGAACAGG
rnacentral:rRNA from 1 species